AGAGUUUGAUCCUGGCUCAGAUUGAACGCUGGCGGCAGGCUUAACACAUGCAAGUCGAGCGGAAACGAGUUAUCUGAACCUUCGGGAAACGAUAACGGCGUCGAGCGGCGGACGGGUGAGUAAUGCCUAGGAAAUUGCCCUGAUGUGGGGGAUAACCAUUGGAAACGAUGGCUAAUACCGCAUGAUGCCUACGGGCCAAAGAGGGGGACCUUCGGGCCUCUCGCGUCAGGAUAUGCCUAGGUGGGAUUAGCUAGUUGGUGAGGUAAGGGCUCACCAAGGCGACGAUCCCUAGCUGGUCUGAGAGGAUGAUCAGCCACACUGGAACUGAGACACGGUCCAGACUCCUACGGGAGGCAGCAGUGGGGAAUAUUGCACAAUGGGCGCAAGCCUGAUGCAGCCAUGCCGCGUGUGUGAAGAAGGCCUUCGGGUUGUAAAGCACUUUCAGUCGUGAGGAAGGUAGUGUAGUUAAUAGCUGCAUUAUUUGACGUUAGCGACAGAAGAAGCACCGGCUAACUCCGUGCCAGCAGCCGCGGUAAUACGGAGGGUGCGAGCSUUAAUCGGAAUUACUGGGCSUWWAGCGCAUGCAGGUGGUUUGUUAAGUCAGAUGUGAAAGCCCGGGGCUCAACCUCGGAAUAGCAUUUGAAACUGGCAGACUAGAGUACUGUAGAGGGGGGUAGAAUUUCAGGUGUAGCGGUGAAAUGCGUAGAGAUCUGAAGGAAUACCGGUGGCGAGGCGGCCCCCUGGACAGAUACUGACACUCAGAUGCGAAAGCGUGGGGAGCAAACAGGAUUAGAUACCCUGGUAGUCCACGCCGUAAACGAUGUCUACUUGGAGGUUGUGGCCUUGAGCCGUGGCUUUCGGAGCUAACGCGUUAAGUAGACCGCCUGGGGAGUACGGUCGCAAGAUUAAAACUCAAAUGAAUUGACGGGGGCCCGCACAAGCGGUGGAGCAUGUGGUUUAAUUCGAUGCAACGCGAAGAACCUUACCUACUCUUGACAUCCAGAGAACUUUCCAGAGAUGGAUUGGUGCCUUCGGGAACUCUGAGACAGGUGCUGCAUGGCUGGUCGUCAGCUCGUGUUGUGAAAUGUUGGGGUUAAGUCCCGCAACGAGCGCAACCCUUAUCCUUGUUUGCCAGCGAGUAAUGUCGGGAACUCCAGGGAGACUGCCGGUGAUAAACCGGAGGAAGGUGGGGACGACGUCAAGUCAUCAUGGCCCUUACGAGUAGGGCUACACACGUGCUACAAUGGCGCAUACAGAGGGCGGCCAACUUGCGAAAGUGAGCGAAUCCCAAAAAGUGCGUCGUAGUCCGGAUUGGAGUCUGCAACUCGACUCCAUGAAGUCGGAAUCGCUAGUAAUCGUGGAUCAGAAUGCCACGGUGAAUACGUUCCCGGGCCUUGUACACACCGCCCGUCACACCAUGGGAGUGGGCUGCAAAAGAAGUAGGUAGUUUAACCUUCGGGGGGACGCUUACCACUUUGUGGUUCAUGACUGGGGUGAAGUCGUAACA
rnacentral:rRNA from 1 species